AGUGAACGCUGGCGGUAGGCCUAACACAUGCAAGUCGAACGGCAGCACAGUAAGAGCUUGCUCUUACGGGUGGCGAGUGGCGGACGGGUGAGGAAUACAUCGGAAUCUACUUUUUCGUGGGGGAUAACGUAGGGAAACUUACGCUAAUACCGCAUACGACCUACGGGUGAAAGCAGGGGAUCUUCGGACCUUGCGCGAUUGAAUGAGCCGAUGUCGGAUUAGCUAGUUGGCGGGGGAAAGGCCCACCAAGGCGACGAUCCGUAGCUGGUCUGAGAGGAUGGUCAGCCACACUGGAACUGAGACACGGUCCAGACUCCUACGGGAGGCAGCAGUGGGGAAUAUUGGACAAUGGGCGCAAGCCUGAUCCAUCCAUACCGCGUGGGUGAAGAAGGCCUUCGGGUUGUAAAGCCCUUUUGUUGGGAAAGAAAAGCAGCAGGUUAAUACCCCGCUGUUCUGACGGUACCCAAAGAAUAAGCACCGGCUAACUUCGUG
rnacentral:rRNA from 1 species